AAAGUUUAAUCACAUAAUGAAAGCACCAAAAAGGGUUCUUAGAAAGAUUCCAUAAAAUAAGUGUUAAAACUAUUUCUCAAUCACAUUAAAAAUAUACUCGAAUCUCAUUGGACUCACAUCAAUGUUAAACUGCUUAGAAAAUAUGUUUUUGACCGGUAGAACAAGAAAAAAGUCAGAAUCUCCAAAGUAUCUCUUUAUAGCACUUAGUUUCAUGUCAAGCUUAUAGAUGUCUUCCAUCUACCCCAUUUUAAAAGAGAAAAAGAGGAUUCAAUAAAAUACACCAAAAAUCCUUUCAAAAAUCUUCAUCCUCAUAAUGCAAGCUUCAUCGUGAAUUAUCUACGGUUGAAGAAUGAGCUUUCAAAUAAUUUUCUUAAUCUUCUUUGGAUUAUUUUUUGAUGCGCUUAAAGCUGUUUUAAAGAUGAUUUGAGAAAAAAAACUAAAACAAGGAUAACUUUUCAUUGAACUAAAAUCAUAUGAUUCCUGAUGUCAUGUCUUUAUUGUUUUUUUCCUUUCACAAAAAUACUUGGGAUUACC
rnacentral:lncRNA from 1 species